ensembl:lncRNA novel transcript
UUGAGCCCAGAAGUCACUGGAGGAGUUCAAGGGUGCCCAGAGUGCAAGCAAGAUCCAAGAAUAUCCAGAACUAUUCCUAAGCCACAUCGUGUAUUAUUAUCAAAUGGCCUGUGAAGCAGAUUCUCUUGCUGGGACAGUUUUUAAGACCUCUCUAUACUGAAUUGGGACACUGCCUGGAAGUUGUCCAAACUCUGCCUUUUGAAAGAAUAUUGAUGACUAAGAAAACUUGCCCUGAAUAAACUAAUGUUAGGACACAGGAAAGCACCCUCACUUCAAGUCAUGUUCAUUCCACAAUCUCAUAUUUCAGAUGUCAUGGUUGCAGGAUUGGUCGUGUUGUGUUGGAGCUGAGAAGAGGCAGUGCCCAUCAAUCAGCAGUUCCUGC